rnacentral:lncRNA from 1 species
GUUUAUCAGAGGGAUGGGACGAGAGGGUGAGGUGUGACUUCCCAGAGCAGCGAGCUUCAGUGUCUGACUACAUGGGGCAAGGAAAGACACCAGUGGACAAAAGGUAUUUGCUGGGCUUAAGGGUGCGUGACGCAUGUUUUUGGUAGUAGUAGCAGAUUUGUCUUUUUAAGAUGUCUUUUUUGAGCCACUUUUAAAAUAACAACAGCUGACAUUUAUAGAAUCUUCAUCAGCUUCCAGACAAUGUGCUAAGCAUUUUACCUGCAUUGUCUCAAUUCGUCCUUACAGGGAAGCACUGUGGUUAUUCCGAUUGUACUAAGGAUGUGAUAGAAGUCACACGAUGUGACUUCUGAGGCUAGGACAUGAAAGCGUCUACCUGGCUCUCUCAGUCUGUCUCAGGAUGUAUGCCAGGGAGCCACAAGCCAACUUGUGAAAUGUUUGGUUACCCUGCAGGUGCUGUGCUGGAGAGAGCAUGUGGAGAGACACCACAGAGAGUGAUGUCCAAGGAUCCUCUGCUGUUCUAGCCUCCAGAUGUUUGGUACCAAAUGGAGAGUGAGUGAGGCUUCCAACCCCACCUUUGAGCCACCCCAGCUGAUCCCAGUAGAGCAGAGAUGAGCUGUCCCCACCAAGUCUUGCCCAGAUUGCAGAUCUGUGAACAAAUAAGAAUUUU